UACUGUGCUAGACUGGGCGGUUAGUCCUCGCCUGUAACCUCAAACGGACUUUUGGAGGAGUCGAAGUCUGGGGAGCGGUCUUUAUAGUUUAGAUCAGUCCUGAAUGUACUGUCGAUCCUCUGUCCCUAUUGACUGAUGCUUUAAUGAAUCGGAUCAGGACAGGAAUGUAGCAGUCCUAAGUUAUUGCGUUGGUGCUUUAGGGGUUGCGGAGGGGAGGGAAAUUCAGGAUAAACUGGUUUAGGCUAUAGGAUCCAUCUCCAGGCGUGCACACUU
rnacentral:SRP_RNA from 1 species